AUUGAACGCUGGCGGCAGGCCUAACACAUGCAAGUCGAGCGGAGCGGCGGACGGGUGAGUAAUGCCUAGGAAUCUGCCUGGUAGUGGGGGAUAACGUCCGGAAACGGGCGCUAAUACCGCAUACUAUCAGAUGAGCCUAGGUCGGAUUAGCUAGUUGGGUGGGUAAAGGCCUACCAAGGCGACGAUCCGUAACCGGUCUGAGAGGAGGAUCAGUCACACUGGAAAUGAGACACGUGCAAGAUUCCUACGGAAGGCAGCAGUGGGGAAUAUUGGACAAGGGGCGAAGUCCUGAUCCAUCCAUGCCGCGUGGGGAAAGAAGGUCUUCGGAUUGUAAAGCACUUUAAGUUGGGAGGCGUUACCAACAGAAUAAGCACCGGCUAACUUCGUGCCAGCAGCCGCGGUAAUUC
rnacentral:rRNA from 1 species